rnacentral:rRNA from 1 species
AGCGAACGCUGGCGGCAGGCCUAACACAUGCAAGUCGAACGCCCAGCAAUGGGAGUGGCAGACGGGAUAGUAACACGUGGGAACGCGCCCUUCGGUUCGGAAUAACUCAGGGAAACUUGAGCUAAUACCGGAUACGCCCUUACGGGGAAAGAUUUAUUGCCGAAGGAACGGCCCGCGUCGGAUUAGCUAGUUGGUGAGGUAAUGGCUCACCAAGGCGACGAUCCGUAGCUGGUCUGAGAGGAUGACCAGCAUCACUGGGACUGAGACACGGCCCAGACUCCUACGGGAGGCAGCAGUGGGGAAUAUUGGACAAUGGGCGCAAGCCUGAUCCAGCCAUGCCGCGUGGAUGAUGAAGGCCCUAGGGUUGUAAAGUCCUUUUAACGGGGAAGAUAAUGACGGUACCCGUAGAAUAAGCCCCGGCUAACUUCGUGCCAGCCGCCGCGGUAACAC